rnacentral:rRNA from 1 species
GGCGAACGCUGGCGGCGUGCUUAACACAUGCAAGUCGAACGGAAAGGCCCUGCUUUUGUGGGGUGCUCGAGUGGCGAACGGGUGAGUAACACGUGAGUAACCUGCCCUUGACUUUGGGAUAACUUCAGGAAACUGGGGCUAAUACCGGAUAGGAGCUCCUGCUGCAUGGUGGGGGUUGGAAAGUUUCGGCGGUUGGGGAUGGACUCGCGGCUUAUCAGCUUGUUGGUGGGGUAGUGGCUUACCAAGGCUUUGACGGGUAGCCGGCCUGAGAGGGUGACCGGCCACAUUGAGACUGAGAUACGGCCCAGACUCCUACGGGAGGCAGCAGUGGGGAAUAUUGCACAAUGGGCGGAAGCCUGAUGCAGCAACGCCGCGUGCGGGAUGACGGCCUUCGGGUUGUAAACCGCUUUCGCCUGUGACGAAGCGUGAGUGACGGUAAUGGGUAAAGAAGCACCGGCUAACUACGUG